CUUAUACUCCCUGCGUCCCAUAUUAAGUGCCGAAAUAUUACAUGUAUCUAGACGCUUUUUACAUAUAGAUACGUCCAUAUUUGGGCAAAUUUGAGUCACUUAAUAUGGGAUGGAGGGAGUAUUUA
rnacentral:pre_miRNA from 1 species